rnacentral:rRNA from 1 species
GUACACAAAAAUGCACAUAUUGUGAGCUCGAUGAGUAGGGCGGGACACGUGGUAUCCUGUCUGAAUAUGGGGGGACCAUCCUCCAAGGCUAAAUACUCCUGACUGACCGAUAGUGAACCAGUACCGUGAGGGAAAGGCGAAAAGAACCCCGGCGAGGGGAGUGAAAAAGAACCUGAAACCGUGUACGUACAAGCAGUGGGAGCCUCUUUAUGGGGUGACUGCGUACCUUUUGUAUAAUGGGUCAGCGACUUAUAUUCUGUAGCAAGGUUAACCGAAUAGGGGAGCCGAAGGGAAACCGAGUCUUAACUGGGCGUUAAGUUGCAGGGUAUAGACCCGAAACCCGGUGAUCUAGCCAUGGGCAGGUUGAAGGUUGGGUAACACUAACUGGAGGACCGAACCGACUAAUGUUGAAAAAUUAGCGGAUGACUUGUGGCUGGGGGUGAAAGGCCAAUCAAACCGGGAGAUAGCUGGUUCUCCCCGAAAGCUAUUUAGGUAGCGCCUCGUGAAUUCAUCUCCGGGGGUAGAGCACUGUUUCGGCAAGGGGGUCAUCCCGACUUACCAACCCGAUGCAAACUGCGAAUACCGGAGAAUGUUAUCACGGGAGACACACGGCGGGUGCUAACGUCCGUCGUGAAGAGGGAAACAACCCAGACCGCCAGCUAAGGUCCCAAAGUCAUGGUUAAGUGGGAAACGAUGUGGGAAGGCCCAGACAGCCAGGAUGUUGGCUUAGAAGCAGCCAUCAUUUAAAGAAAGCGUAAUAGCUCACUGGUCGAGUCGGCCUGCGCGGAAGAUGUAACGGGGCUAAACCAUGCACCGAAGCUGCGGCAGCGACACUAUGUGUUGUUGGGUAGGGGAGCGUUCUGUAAGCCUGUGAAGGUGGCCUGUGAGGGUUGCUGGAGGUAUCAGAAGUGCGAAUGCUGACAUAAGUAACGAUAAAGCGGGUGAAAAGCCCGCUCGCCGGAAGACCAAGGGUUCCUGUCCAACGUUAAUCGGGGCAGGGUGAGUCGACCCCUAAGGCGAGGCCGAAAGGCGUAGUCGAUGGGAAACAGGUUAAUAUUCCUGUACUUGGUGUUACUGCGAAGGGGGGACGGAGAAGGCUAUGUUGGCCGGGCGACGGUUGUCCCGGUUUAAGCGUGUAGGCUGGUUUUCCAGGCAAAUCCGGAAAACCAAGGCUGAGGCGUGAUGACGAGGCACUACGGUGCUGAAGCGACAAAUGCCCUGCUUCCAGGAAAAGCCUCUAAGCAUCAGGUA